UACGUAGGGGUGCGAGCGUUAAUUCGGAAUUACUGGGCGUAAAGCGUGCGCAGGCGGCGCGUUAAGACAGGUAGUGAAAGCCCCGAGCCUUAACUUGGGAAUUGCGCUUGUGACUGGCGUGCUGGAGUGUGGCAGAGGGAGGUGGAAAUUCCACGUGUAGCAGUGAAAUGCGUAGAGAUGUGGAGGGAACACCGAUGGCGAAGGCAGCCUCCUGGGCCAGCACUGGACGCUCAUGCACGAAAGCCGUGGGGAGCAAACAGG
rnacentral:rRNA from 1 species